AUAAAAUGGCUGUUGUUUGUUUACAAAUUAACCCGUCUAUUAUUAAAGAUACAACUAUUAAAAAGCAGCUGGUUCUCGAAGGUGAUCCAGGAUCCAGUACUUAUACAAUUUGGACAAUAAAAUGAAUUUAAUAAGGAAGCUCAUCAAUUAAAAGUUAAAUUCUGUGAUCAUUUUGCAUGGAAUUCCUACUUUAUUGUGUAUUCUCAAGGAAAAUUAGAAACCAACUUCAUUCAUCCGAAUGCACAAUUUUUAGGGCUGUAAUUUCUUUCUUUAAAGAAUUGAGUUUUGGAAGUCUUUCUGCAUGGACCUGUGUUUUUGGGUUGCCCAAGAGACUAUUAAUACAAUUAAAUAUGAGAAUGUUGGUAUAUUUACCCCAAUGUUAUAUGUUAAGGGGCUACAACUUCUUUAUUUUAACUGGAAUUCUAAAUAUGCCUUCAGAAUUGUGAUCUAGAAACUUUUAUAUAUGGAAUUGUGUUUUUGGGUUGCA
rnacentral:lncRNA from 1 species